AACAUGUUUUGGGGUUUGCCCCACCAAGAUUUACAUGCUAAAACCACCACUGGUAAUUCUAAGGGAAGGCACUGCAAACAAUAUGGUGAAAGGUACUACAAUCUCGCUCUGGUGCUGCACACAAUAUGAGACCCAUCCUUGGCCCUGCUCUACUCUGCCAACCCCUCUAAAGGACUACUGCUAUGGGACAAAUAGAGAGGGGGAAAGACACACAAGAGAACAUAUAGAAAGGGUGGGGAAAGGUUCUAGAUUUCUAGGGUCCGAUGAGAACCAUUUCCCCACAAAAUCAAAUAAACAUCUCCCUGUUCUGGAACGUGCCCGGUCUGAGACUGCUUGGCGAUGUCACCGAUAGCUAAACGAGAGGAAGACAGAUGGCAGGGAAACCUGCCGACAAUAGUGGCUUCUAGUGGAGUGGCAAAACAGCCCAGAGAGAGUAGUGUGAGGGGAACAUAGGAAGAAUCACAUCCCUUACUUGGUGGAGCUAAAGCUCCUAGAUGUCCUUUAUACCAAUGGCUCUCUCGGUCCAUUGCUCUCCAAUCACCACGCAGCUCCACAGCCCCAGUUCGUCGUCAACUCAGACGCCCACUUCCUCACUCAAAUUCGCCAGUAAGACUUCUCGUCCCACAUACACUGGUCCAGUGCGAUCACCACAAACAAGACAUGGACACUUGCAUGGGAGACUGAUCCCCACAGAGAGACAUUCUCUGCUCAACUCCUAGCCCCGAACACCACAAAACACAAGGCUUUUAAAGGAAAUUACAGACAAUCCUCAGCUACCUGUCUGAUUAGCUAAUCCGCUGCAGGUGGGUCUGAUCACACCAGCCCCGCCACCCUCUCCCCCCCUUUCUCUACAGUCGUCCUGACUAUCCUGAAUUAGCCAACUGUGCCCGGUACGUGUCUACCCAUCUAGGGGCCCAACCACCUUACCUCUAGCAUCCUGAACCGCUGGGGGAGCAGCAGCCUCUUCUCUGUCCAGAGGAACGGCAGUGCGCCUGACUGGGUACCAUGUGUAGUUGUGCCAGUCCGGCCUAGGGACCUGGCUCAGCUGAACAUUGUUUGAUUGGCUAGUUGGGGGGAGAGUUGAAUCUGGGUGCGGCCUGAAGUUUGGGUAGGGGCAAGGCCGCACAUGGUUCCUAUGAAUUGUCACUAUUGGUCAACUUCCCUCUGGUCAGACACGAAGGACUGGCAGUCCAGGCCGAAGGUGUCCUAGAAUGACAAAAGGCUGCGGUUGACAUUGGGGGGCUAGUUUACCCUGAUCACAUUGUGUAUGUGAAUUGAAGGGGGUCUAAGGUUUCCAGGAAGAUGGAAACCCUAGACCCUGGGGCAGGCUUGGCAGGCAGCAGUGGGUGUGGCUUCUGGAGUGGGUGUGUUCCUGGUAAUUUGCAAACAUGGACUUUUCUCAUAUUAAUGUGUUUUGACAUGGGAUAAUCUAUCAACUCCUUUUGGUCAUAUUAUAUACACCAGGCUAUAUUCAAUAUAAUUAAUUUGGCCUAUUUUGUUUUUCAGAGAAAAACAAUUCUCAGAGACAACUUGGUGAUUGGAGCUGUGAACAGUGGAGGCAUGGUGGAUUCUGGGGAUGCUGGGAUGUAUUCUCUGAGCAUCUCUGUACCGUCCACAUUUUUGGCCUCAGGUAAGUCCAUUCUGUUUCUAACUAAACGUCUUCUGUCCAUGUCUUCCCGACCUGGAACGUGAAUUUGAGUCCCUCAGCACAACAAAACUUUGUCACUCAAUAUCAACAAUACUAACUUUUAACAGAAAAGUAUGUGUUAGUCAGAGCAUCUGGGUAGCGUGAGAACAGAACUGUAAGUCUACAGGGUGGUUUGAGUCAGGAGGAGAAGUGUGAUGUGACAUUAUCACAUCAUGCUUUCACUUCUUCGGUUCUGCUGUUAUUAAUGCACUGGGGCAAAACUUGGUAAAGUAACACACACAUGACCCGACCAGCAGUCACAACCUCUUAAUCAUGGCAUUGUCUCUCUGUGAUGUACAGGACCUGUUGGUGUGGAUACACAGGGAUCUGCAGAUUAAGAUAUAAGUACAACAAAUAUAAUUAUAUUACUUUGUCUAAAUAAUUGUUUGUGAACAGACAGCCGAGGAGGAUAAAAGGUCUCUCUCUCUCUGUACCAAUCACAUUCAUGCUCACAGGUGAGUUAAUUCAGACUGCUUAUACAUUAUUAAUAAUAAUAUAUUGGAUUCAUAUAGCUCAAGUUGUACUUAAAACAGGAAGGAGUAUGUCAGAACAUCUUGGGAGUGUGAGAACCGAGCUGUACACUCUUACUUUCACUUCUGUUCUGAUGUAAUGCACUGUCACUCACUCACUCACUCACUCACUCACUCACUCACUCACUCACUCACUCACUCACUCACUCACUCACUCACUCACUCACUCACUCACUCACUCACUCACUCACUCACUCACUCACUCACUCACUCACUCACUCACGCUCCCUCUGUGUUGUUCAGGCCCUGUUAAAGCCAAUCGACAGUCACCUGAAAACAACGUAAAUUCAUCAUCUGUAGCUUUGUCUCACACGUCUCACAAAUACCCUCACACAUGAUGUCCUUUGUUUAACCAUAACAUCACCGGGGGCAAACUACCAGCCCUCCAGGACACCUACAGCACCCAAUGUCACAGGAAGACCAAAUAUCAUCAAGGACAUCAACCACACGAGCUAAGGCCUAUACACCCCGCUACCAUCCAGAAGGCGAGAGGGUGAUGGAGCUGGAUGCUGAUGAAAACCUUCACAAAUUCCUCUUUUUGGAUGAAGCAGGCUUCAACCUGGCCAAGACAAGGAGGAGAGGUUGGAAUCUCAUUGGCCAGCGGGCAACCAACCAAGUACCUGGACAACAUGGGGCCAACAUCACCAUGUGUGCGGCUAUAUCAGAAGACGGUGUGGUGGGACGCAGACCUCGUAUUGGAUCAUAUAAAGCAGCUCUCCUUGUGUAACCUUCUUGAUGAGAUAAAUCGGGUCUGUAGAGCUGAUGUCGUGACCUAUGUCAUUGCGUGGGUUAAUGUCAGGUUCUACCAUGCUCAAAUGGUGCAAGCACGGUUUCAGGCCCAUCCACAAUUUAUCACCCUGUACUUACCCCUAUACUCUCCUUUCCUUAACCCGAUUGAGACAUUUUUCUCCAAGUGGAGGUGAAAGGUAUAUGAUAGGCGCCCUCAGGAACAAGCCACCCUUCUCCAGGCCAUGGAUGAUGUAUGCAAUGACAUCACGGCAGACCAGUGUCAGGCCUGGAUUCACCCUGCCCGAAGAUUCUU